rnacentral:rRNA from 1 species
GACAUUUGCACCCGAGGUUUUUACCAGCUACUGCCUGAACGUCCGAUCACCGAAGUUAAGCAACGUCGGGCCCGGUUAGUACUUGGAUGGGUGACCGCCUGGGAAUACCGGGUGCAGUAGACU